GACGAACGCUGGCGGCGUGCUUAACACAUGCAAGUCGAACGGAAAGGCCCUGCUUGCAGGGUGCUCGAGUGGCGAACGGGUGAGUAACACGUGGGUGAUCUGCCCCUUACUUUGGGAUAAGCCUGGGCAACUGGGUCUAAUACUGGAUAGGACCAUGCUGUAGGUGGUGUGGUGGGAAGAUUAGUUUCGGUAAGGGAUGAGCUCGCGGCCUAUCAGCUUGUUGGUGGGGUACUGGCCUACCAAGGCGUCGACGGGUAGCCGGCCUGAGAGGGUGGACGGCCACGUUGAGACUGCGAUACGGCCCAGACGCCUACGGGAGGCAGCAGUGGGGAAUAUUGCACAAUGGGCGCACGCCUGAUGCAGCGACGCCGCGUGGGGGGUGACGGCCUUCGGGUUGUAAACUCCUUUCAGCCAUGACGAAGCCCUUGUGGUGACGGUAGUGGUAGAAGAAGCACCGGCUAACUACGUG
rnacentral:rRNA from 1 species